rnacentral:tRNA from 1 species
UGCUGGGUAGAGCAGUCUGGUAGCUUGUGGGGCUCAUAACCCUAAGGUCGUAGGUUCGAAUCCUACCCCAGCCA